rfam:Pseudomonas resinovorans NBRC 106553 DNA, complete geonome.
UUCGGGACCGCUGCCAUUUCUGUGCAGCCCUCCACGCCGUCGCCGAUGCACUCCAAUUCGAAUAAGCACAGCGAUCCUGUCGCCUUCUCUGCGGCGCGGC